AGAGACUGCAGGUAGAGGCCCGAUGCUCCUUUUCCUCUGUGUGUGUUUAUCGCGCGCUCUUUGGGAGGAUUUUGAAGCUGACACCAUGUGAUCUGAUGCCAUUGGAAGGCCAAUGAGAAACGAGACGGGCACAGAAGGUAAAGGUAAAAGCAAAGCUUUUUCCUCUGGAGGACUCAUUAAAGCAGGCCGCCUCUGUGUGCUUCUGAGCUGCCCUCUAAUCCACGACCACAGCUUCACAGAGCCGACACACUUUCCCCCACCUAUACAUGCAGACCCACAGUACUGAGCUGUCUUCUCACAGUGGACGGACGGACAGAAAUACCUGUGCAUUUUUUCAAAUCUGAAGCAAGAGUGAAGCUUGAUUGUCUCUUUUCUCUUAAAGGUAAAAGCUGUAAGUGCUGUUUAGCUGAUGGUAAAAGUGGUCUACCACAUCUUUCAAAGUUGUAAGGAGCUGUAUAAUUUCCACAUUUGUUUUUCAUUUUUUGAAUUUCAGUUUUGCCACUAUUAUAAUAUCUGAUAGCGUGAUAACAAUUAACAAAUGAUAUGUUGUGCUGUCCUAAAACAAGACCCCCAUAUACACAUUGAAGUGUACAAGCACAAGUGUAUAUGCAUGUCUAUAUACAUUACACAUACACAUGUGCACACACAGGGUCAUUGUUUCCUGCUCUCCUGAGCUGCUUCCUGAAUGGAAAGACAGGAGGCUAUUGGUUAAGGAGGGAUGAUCUUCACUGCAACACAUGCUCAGCUCCAAUGACAGUAAGAUGAGAAACAACACCUGACACAUGUGGGAAAACACAAAACACACUCAAAUACACACAGUAAAGAAGCCUUCAGGGCUAAACAGGUCACAUAAAACCCACAUGUAACACCAUCACCCCCCCAAACACACACAUACACACUUCCAUACACAAAACCCACUUAAAACACAUUUAUUUACACAAAA